GAAAUGCGAUAAGUAGUGUGAAUUGCAGAAUUAAGUGAAUCAUCGAAUCUUUGAACGCACAUUGCGCCCCUUGGUAUUCCAUGGGGCAUGCCUGUUCGAGCGUCAUUUGUACCCUCAAGCUCUGCUUGGUGUUGGGUGUUUGUCCCGUCUCCGCGCGUGGACUCGCCCCAAAGUGAUUGGCAGCCGGCGUACUGGUCCCGGAGCGCAGCACAUGUCGCGCAAACGAGUGCCUUGGUACGGCGGCGUCCAUAAGCCCCUCUCUCACGCUCUUGACCUCGGAUCAGGUAGGGAUACCCGCUGAACUUAAGC
rnacentral:misc_RNA from 1 species